rnacentral:rRNA from 1 species
UGCAGCGACGCCGCGUGAGGGAUGACGGCCUAUCGGGUUGUAAACCUCUUUCAGCAGGGAAGAAGCGAGAGUGACGGUACCUGCAGAAGAAGCGCCGGCUAACUACGUGCCAGCAGCCGCGGUAAUACGUAGGGCGCAAGCGUUGUCCGGAAUUAUUGGGCGUAAAGAGCUCGUAGGCGGCUUGUCGCGUCGGAUGUGAAAGCCCGGGGCUUAACCCCGGGUCUGCAUUCGAUACGGGCAGGCUAGAGUUCGGUAGGGGAGAUCGGAAUUCCUGGUGUAGCGGUGAAAUGCGCAGAUAUCAGGAGGAACACCGGUGGCGAAGGCGGAUCUCUGGGCCGAUACUGACGCUGAGGAGCGAAAGCGUGGGGAGCGAACAGGAUUAGAUACCCUGGUAGUCCACGCCGUAAACGUUGGGAACUAGGUGUGGGCGACAUUCCACGUCGUCCGUGCCGCAGCUAACGCAUUAAGUUCCCCGCCUGGGGAGUACGGCCGCAAGGCUAAAACUCAAAGGAAUUGACGGGGGCCCGCACAAGCAGCGGAGCAUGUGGCUUAAUUCGACGCAACGCGAAGAACCUUACCAAGGCUUGACAUACACCGGAAACGUCUGGAGACAGGCGCCCCCUUG